rnacentral:misc_RNA from 1 species
CUGAGUGAAGGUCUCCCUUUCGGGGGGGGCCUAACCUCCCACCCGUGUCUAUUAUACCCUGUUGCUUCGGCGGGUUCUCUCCCCCAUUACUGGGGGUGUUGCCCGCCGGAGACCCCCAACAUGAACACUGUAUUAAGAGUAUUGAAGUCUGAGUUGAUUGUUACCAAUCAGUUA